UACGGGGGGGGCAAGCGUUGUUCGGAAUUACUGGGCGUAAAGGGCUCGUAGGCGGCCAACUAAGUCAGACGUGAAAUCCCCAGGCUCAACCUGGGAACUGCGUCUGAUACUGGAUGGCUUGAAUCCGGGAGAGGGAUGCAGAAUUCCAGGUGUAGCGGUGAAAUGCGUAGAUAUCUGGAGGAAUACCAGUGGCGAAGGCGGCCACCUGGCUUGGUAUUGACGCUGAGGCGCGAAAGCGUGGGGAGCAAACAGG
rnacentral:rRNA from 1 species